CAGCAGCCACGGUAAUACGAAGGGUGCAAGCGUUAAUCGGAAUUACUGGGCGUAAAGCGUGCGUAGGCGGUUUGUUAAGUCUGUUGUGAAAUCCCCGGGCUCAACCUGGGAAUGGCAAUGGAUACUGGCAGGCUAGAGUGUGAUAGAGGAUGGUGGAAUUCCCGGUGUAGCGGUGAAAUGCGUAGAGAUCGGGAGGAACAUCAGUGGCGAAGGCGGCCAUCUGGAUCAACACUGACGCUGAGGCACGAAAGCGUGGGGAGCAAACAGGAUUAGAUACCCGAGUAGUCCCUGUCUCUUAUAC
rnacentral:rRNA from 1 species